AGUGAACGCUGGCGGUAGGCCUAACACAUGCCAGUCGAACGGCAGCACAGUAAGAGCUUGCUCUUACGGGUGGCGAGUGGCGGACGGGUGAGGAAUACAUCGGAAUCUACUUUUUCGUGGGGGAUAACGUAGGGAAACUUACGCUAAUACCGCAUACGACCUACGGGUGAAAGCAGGGGAUCUUCGGACCUUGCGCGAUUGAAUGAGCCGAUGUCGGAUUAGCUAGUUGGCGGGGUAAAGGCCCACCAAGGCGACGAUCCGUAGCUGGUCUGAGAGGAUGAUCAGCCACACUGGAACUGAGACACGGUCCAGACUCCGACGGGAGGCAGCAGUGGGGAAUAUUGCACAAUGGGCGCAAGCCUGAUCCAGCCAUACCGCGUGGGUGAAGAAGGCCUUCGGGUUGUAAAGCCCUUUUGUUGGGAAAGAAAAGCAGCAGGUUAAUACCCCGCUGUUCUGACGGUACCCAAAGAAUAAGCACCGGCUAACUUCGUG
rnacentral:rRNA from 1 species